rnacentral:pre_miRNA from 1 species
GUUUGAAUCUCCUGGGGAUCUUGCUAAAAUGUAGGAACUGAUUCAGGAGUUUCUAUAUGGGCUUAAAAGUUUCUGAAGAUUUAAUAAGCUCCCAGGUGAUGCUGGU